AUGUUUCUCAAGAAUUACCACUGGUUUCGCGACGAUUCCUGGCAUAUACGCAAUAUCUUGGGAAAUAUGGGACCGUCCUCGGCCUUGUUCGAAAACAAUCGACUCUUACUAUAUGUAAAUGCUACUCUUGCUCCUGGUACCAGCGUCGCGGGGUUACUCGAUCUCCCCGGUGGCACAAUGGAGGCGUCGGACGCGAAGGAGAUCGAAGAGAGAGACACGCUGAUGGAGGAUGGAGCUCAAGAAUCCUCGGAAAUGGUCUCAGUUGGUUAUGAUUGGAAUAAUUUUCAAGCUUUGCUAGGUGACAUCCCAAAUGAUUUUGAAUCUUGGACUUCACUUAUAGCACAUAUUGAGAAGGCUUACCCUAAUGACCUGGAAAGGAUAUGUUUGGUUUAUGAUGCCUUCUUGUCUGAGUAUCCUUUAUGCUAUGGUUAUUGGAAUAAGUAUGCAAGUAAUAGGGCACGACUAUGCACUUUACAUGAGGUUGAGGAAAUCUAUGAACGGGCUGUCCAAGCAAUACCAUAUUCUGUUAAUCUGUGGGUCAGUUACUGUACAUUUGGUGCCUUAUCAUUUGAAGAUCCUGCUGACGUACGGAGAUUAUAUGAGAGAGCUUUGUCCUUUGUUAAGAAAGACUACUUGUGCUAUCAGCUGUGGGAUAAAUACAUUGAAUUUGAAUAUUCACUGAAGCAGUGGAGUCAGCUAGCUCAUCUUUACAUUAGAACACUAGUAUUUCCCACAAAGAAACUGCAAAGCUAUUAUGAAAGAUUUAAAAGGUUGAUUGAUAUGUGGUCAAAAGAGAUGGGUUGCCAGCAUGAUCUUGAUUUUCCAAGAGAAAAUACACAUAGUCAUGGGCUGAUAGAUAUCAAGGAUAGUGAAUAUGUAGAAAUCUCAAACCUAAUUAGAGAAUUUAUGGAUCAGAAAGCUUCAAAGUAUGCAUUUAAAAAAUUCCUAUCCAUCGGACAACAAUUAUAUCAGAGAUCAAGACAGAUAGAUGAAAAGAUCAGUUGUUUUGAAGCACAUAUCAGAAGGAAUUAUUUUCAUGUGAAGCCAUUGGAUUCUGGUCAGCUUGAGAACUGGCAUCAUUAUCUUGACUUUGUUGAAACACAAGGAGAUUUUGACUGGAUUGUAAAACUUUACGAGAGAUGUUUGAUUGCUUGUGCUAAUUACUCAGAGUUCUGGAUUCGAUAUGUUGAAUUUGUGGAAGCAAAGGGUGGCCGCGAGUUAGCAAAUCAUGCACUGACUCGAGCAGUGACUGUCUUUCUUAAGAAAGUCCCAGCUUUUUGCAUCUACAGCGCCAUGUUUAAGGAGAAAAUUGGUGAUGUCUCUGGUGCACGUGCUCUAUUUCUUCAGCGGGAUAUGGAUUUAGCUUCUAACUUGGUUGAAACUGUUUAUAGAGAAGCAAACAUGGAAAAGCGCAUGGGGAACACUGAUGUAGCUUACCUGAUAUAUGAAAAAGCAAUUGAAUUGGCUAAAGAAAAGGGGAAUCUGAAAAUCAUUCCAAAUUUGUACACUAAUUUUGCUCGUUUUACAUUUGUGGCAAGUGGUAGCUUUGAGGCAGCUAGAGGAGUUUUCGUCAAGGGUAUUCAGCAAUUACCAUGCAAAUCAAUCCUGGAGGGAUUGAUACACUUUGCAACAAUUCAUGGUGGAGCUUCUGAGAUACCUGUACUGGACACAAUUAUUGCAAAUGUAAUAGAGCCAGAAUCAAAUGUAUAUGGAGCUUUGGGUUUGCAAGAUCGUGAAGACAUAUCUAGGUCGUUCUUAGAGUUCAUGGACCUUUAUGGAAAUAUUCAUGAAAUUAGAAAGGCAUGGGAUCGCCAUAGGAAACUUUUCUCGCAUAUUAUGAGAGUACCACUCGACCGUACAUUUGUGGAGAAAAGCAGUAUACACAAGAGCAAGGACGGAAGGAAGGGAACAGUGAGUGCUGUUUCUCGUAGUGGUUGUUUUGAUAACAGCAAUCCAGCCCUGGGUAUGCAUCAGGUGAAACACUCACCUGCACAAUAUAAUGUUGAUAUCCUUUCAGAAAGGGAUGCAACUAGCAACUUGCAUUUGGAGAUAGAUAAAAAUAGUGCAAAGGAAAUACAGGGACAGGAUGCUAAAUUACCAGAGCAGCCUAUGAUGGAACAGAGUGAACCGCAUGUCAUCACUAAUGAGCAAGUUCAUGAAGCUCCUGCUACGGCUCAAGUAACAGAUGUCCCCUUGGAAUGCUCUAAGAUUGAAAAUGAUAAACCUGAACACAAUUCAGAUGACAACAUAAGACCACCUUCGCGCGACAAUCUCCAAAUGAAUUCUCCAGACUCUGACAGUCGGCAGGUGACUUUGAACACUCUAGUUGAGACUGAACUUUCAGAACAAGUAAUUACGGUUCCAUGUGGCAGCAAAGUUCACGAUGGUAUGGACACAGUUGAGGCCUCUGGAUGUGAUGAACCUGAUCCAUUGGACAUGAAAUUAAGCACAUCUUCUCAAGCUGAUUUUCAGAAAGAUGAGUCACAUUCGCAUCAAGCUACUGAGCCUCCUGCUAUAGCUGCAGAAUUGAAAUUGCAACAGCAACAGAGCGCUCAAUCAAAGUCUAAAUUGAAGCAUGAUUUACCUGUUAGUAUUGCAUCUCCUCAACUUGAUAGCAGCGGAGGAAGCUGGACCCAGAUGAGCUAUGGAAGGCAGGCUCCUGAAGAAGUUACCUCAUCUCAUCAGCAUAGCCAAGCAUCACAACCUCAGCAAGGGCAGGUUCCUGCACAGAUCCAGAACCCUUCUGCUGGAACUAGCUCACAGCUUCUUAUGGAUCAAAGUCAUCCAUGUCAGUCUCAGGUUUGGACAAGCACGCAAGCUCAGCAGGCUAACCAAAUCCAGCUUCUGUAUCAGAUGGCUGCUGCUCAAGCCUACCAAAAUGGCAACUAUGCUUGGGCAGGGCAAAAUAUGCAGCAUCAGGGUUUGGUAUAUGUGCAACCCCAACCCAGCCCUCAACCUGCUUCUCAAGCCCAAACUCUAGUUUACCAGCAACUGCACCAGAACAGUGAACAAUAUGGAUAUUCUCAAAGUGGCCAAGUGUUUGCACCUCAUAUCUGGCAUUAUUAUCAGCAACAAUUGUACUAUCUGCAACAGCAACAGCAGCAGCAGCAGCAGCAACAACAGUCAUCACAGAUUUCACAGGCACAACAACCACAAGAAUCUCUCUCUCAGCAGCUGUCACUGGAGACCCAACAAUUGCUCCUCCAACUACAGCAGCAACAAUACCAACAACUUAACCAACAGGAGCCGCAACAAAACCUUUCUUCGCCAACGCAAAACCAGAACCAUCAACAUCAGCCGCAGCAAAAACCAUCUCAUCUUCAGCAACAGAAUGAGCAGGCUAAUCAGACACAAGAACAGCAGCAGCUUUUAUACCUGCAACAACAGCAGCAACAGAUGUAUCUUCAUCAGCAGCUGUACCUGCAGCAGCAACAGCAGCUACUUCAACAGCAGAUGCUCCAGCAGCAACAGCAACAAGCACCACAACAAUUUUUCCAACAGCAGCAGCUACUACAACAACAGCAACAACAACUUUUGCUACUACAGCAGCAGCACCAACAGCAGCAACUAUUACAGGUGCAGCAGCUAGAGCACCAACAGCAGCAGAGAUUCGAUGCAUCAGAAAUUCAAGUUCAACCGACUAGUUCUCAUCUUCAGGCUGAAGAGGCCAACUUGAUGAAAGUUGAGCAAACUACGGGUUCUCAGUCAUCGACCCCCCAGCGGACUCCCACCAAGCAGUGAUUAUGUUUGUCCAAGUCCAAAACUUACGGCAUCUGUUGAAGUUUCGUUUCUUCGGUCGAAGGAUGAUUUGGGGCCGCCUCCGAGUUGAACUAGAUUUGAUAGAAUCAAGUAUUCCGGAUGUUCGAGUGAGUGCACCAAAUGAUAUGCCGACUGACUCGCAUUGGGGAAAUUCGUGAUGCGGACGUACUAAUGAUCGCCCAGGUUCCAUGAAGUGAACUAGAUUUGAUAGAAUCAAGUAUUCCAGAUGUUCGAGUGCACCAGGGUUUAAAAUUGUUCUGAAUAUUAGUGAUGCCAACAUGUGGAAAAGCCGCACAGCAGAUGGCUUGCGUCGUGUCUGUCUCCUAGUGUUUUGAUGCUGAAGGAUGGCAAUAGCCACCGGCGAAUUGCAAGAAUAGCAACAGUCGACACUAAAAGCAGAUGAAUGUGCUGAGAAAGAAACGUUAAAUUCUCCAGUAGAAUUUAACCGCAGACAAAUGUUGAUGAAUGUGCUGAGAAAGAAACAUUCCUUUGAGCGCCUUCUCCCAUUCAUUGGGUAUGAUCCCGAUAAUGAAAACCAUUGUGUCUCAGAAUCCUCUGACUGUCAUUGCAGUCGUCACCUCCAUUAUCAUGCUGUUUCUGGUGGAUGCUUGCUAAUCUAGUUCUUCUUCCUGGAUCUCUAACCUCAUUAGAAGAUUGUUCAGCUUGGAAAGACCUGCAACAAACACAAAUAUCUAUACUUUUCAUA